rnacentral:rRNA from 1 species
CCGGCUCAGAAUCAACGCUGGCGGCGCGCCUAACACAUGCAAGUCGAACGAGAAAGUGGAGCAAUCCAUGAGUACAGUGGCGUACGGGUGAGUAACACGUGGGUGAUCUACCUCUUAGUGAGGAAUAACCCUGGGAAACCGGGGCUAAUACCGCAUAAGCCUGAGAAGGGAAAGCAGCAAUGCGCUGAGAGAGGAGCCCGCGGCCGAUUAGCUAGUUGGUGAGGUAAGAGCCCACCAAGGCAGAGAUCGGUAGCCGGCCUGAGAGGGCACACGGCCACACUGGCACUGAAACACGGGCCAGACUCCUACGGGAGGCAGCAGUGGGGAAUCUUGCACAAUGGGGGAAACCCUGAUGCAGCGACGCCGCGUGAGCGAUGAAGCCCUUCGGGGUGUAAAGCUCUUUCGUCAGGGAAGAUUAUGACGGUACCUGGAGAAGCAGCUGCGGCUAACUACGUGCCAGCAGCCGCGGUAAUACGUAGGCAGCAAGCGUUGUUCGGAGUUACUGGGCGUAAAGGGUGUGUAGGCGGUUCUUUAAGUUUGGUGUGAAAUCUCCCGGCUCAACCGGGAGGGUGCGCCGAAUACUGAGGGACUAGAGUGUGGGAGAGGAAAGUGGAAUUCCUGGUGUAGCGGUGAAAUGCGUAGAUAUCAGGAGGAACACCGGUGGUGUAGACGGCUUUCUGGACCAUAACUGACGCUGAGACACGAAAGCGUGGGUAGCAAACAGGAUUAGAUACCCUGGUAGUCCACGCCCUAAACGAUGCAUAUUUGGUGUGGGUCAUUCAGUUGAUCCGUGCCGGAGCUAACGCGUUAAAUAUGCCGCCUGGGGAGUACAGUCGCAAGGCUGAAACUCAAAGGAAUUGACGGGGG